AGUGAACGCUGGCGGUAGGCCUAACACAUGCAAGUCGAACGGCAGCACAGUAAGAGCUUGCUCUUACGGGUGGCGAGUGGCGGACGGGUGAGGAAUACAUCGGAAUCUACUUUUUCGUGGGGGAUAACGUAGGGAAACUUACGCUAAUACCGCAUACGACCUACGGGUGAAAGCAGGGGAUCUUCGGACCUUGCGCGAUUGAAUGAGCCGAUGUCGGAUUAGCUAGUUGGCGGGGUAAGGGCCCACCAAGGCGACGAUCCGUAGCUGGUCUGAGAGGAUGAUCAGCCACACUGGAACUGAGACACGGUCCAGACCCCCACGGGAGGCAGCAGUGGGGAAUAUUGGACAAAGGGCGCAAGCCUGAUCCAGCCAUACCGCGUGGGUGAAGAAGGCCUUCGGGUUGUAAAGCCCUUUUGUUGGGAAAGAAAAGCAGCAGGUUAAUACCCCGCUGUUCUGACGGUACCCAAAGAAUAAGCACCGGCUAACUUCGUG
rnacentral:rRNA from 1 species